ACGCUCGACACCUACGGGGGCAGCAGUGGGGAAUAUUGGGCAAUGGAGGCAACUCUGACCCAGCAACGCCGCGUGAAUGAUGAAGGUCUUCGGAUUGUAAAGUUCUGUGACGAGGGACGAACACAAUGACGGUACCCCGAUAGCAAGCCACGGCUAACUACGUGCCAGAAGCCGCGGUAAUCUGAGCGGGCUGGCAAGGC
rnacentral:rRNA from 1 species